UACUCCUACGGGAGGCAGCAGUAGGGAAUCUUCCGCAAUGGGCGAAAGCCUGACGGAGCAACGCCGCGUGAGUGAUGAAGGUCUUCGGAUCGUAAAACUCUGUUAUUAGGGAAGAACAUAUGUGUAAGUAACUGUGCACAUCUUGACGGUACCUAAUCAGAAAGCCACGGCUAACUACGUGCCAGCAGCCGCGGUAAUACGUAGGUGGCAAGCGUUAUCCGGAAUUAUUGGGCGUAAAGCGCGCGUAGGCGGUUUUUUAAGUCUGAUGUGAAAGCCCACGGCUCAACCGUGGAGGGUCAUUGGAAACUGGAAAACUUGAGUGCAGAAGAGGAAAGUGGAAUUCCAUGUGUAGCGGUGAAAUGCGCAGAGAUAUGGAGGAACACCAGUGGCGAAGGCGACUUUCUGGUCUGUAACUGACGCUGAUGUGCGAAAGCGUGGGGAUCAAACGGGAUUAGAUACCCUGGUAGUCCACGCCGUAAACGAUGAGUGCUAAGUGUUAGGGGGUUUCCGCCCCUUAGUGCUGCAGCUAACGCAUUAAGCACUCCGCCUGGGGAGUACGACCGCAAGGUUGAAACUCAAAGGAAUUGACGGA
rnacentral:rRNA from 1 species